rnacentral:rRNA from 1 species
UACGUAGGGUGCGAGCGUUGUCCGGAAUUAUUGGGCGUAAAGAGCUCGUAGGCGGUGUGUCACGUCGUUCGUGAAAACCUGCAGCUUAACUGUGGGCGUGCGGUCGAUACGGGCAUCACUGGAGUUCGGCAGGGGAGACUGGAAUUCCUGGUGUAGCGGUGAAAUGCGCAGAUAUCAGGAGGAACACCGGUGGCGAAGGCGGGUCUCUGGGCAACUACUGACGCUGAGGAGCGAAAGCGUGGGGAGCGAACAGG